UUUGUUUAUUUUCUUGUUUUUUUUAUUGUUUUUGUUGAUUGUUUAUUGAAGUAUCAUUUUUGUUGUUGUAGGUUUUUGAUUUAAUUUUUGAUGCGAUAGUUUACUUGUACUNNNNNNNNNNNNNNNNNNNNNNGGUUUUUAUUUAUGUUUGUUUUGUUGUUUUAUUAUUUCUUAUUGUUUUGUUGGGGUGAUGGGAGGAAAUUUCUUAACUCCUCUUUAUUUAUGAUAUACUUGUUUGUAUUUAUUUUGAUCCAUUUAUUUUGAUUAUAAGAUUAAAUUACCUUAGGGAUAACAGCGUUAUCCUCCUUGAGAGUUCUUAUUGGCAGGGGGGUUUGCGACCUCGAUGUUGGAUUAAGAUUAAUUUUUGGUGUAGAAGCUGAAUUGAUUGGGUCUGUUCGACCUUUAAAAUCUUACAUGAUCUGAGUUCAGACCGGCGUGAGCCAGGUUGGUUUCUAUCUAUAAUGUGUAUUUUUAUGCCUUAGUACGAGAGGACCGGGUAUUUGGAAUAAUUUUGUUGGGAUUGUAUUUUAUUAAUAGGU
rnacentral:rRNA from 1 species